GUGAGGUGAUGAUGAAGUUUAUCCAUUCUCUGAGUGCAGUGGUGCUGCCCUCCUGCAGCACCCAGAUUCCUGUUCUAGGGUCUGGGUGCUGUGCAGCCUCCAGAGACUCCUCCAGUCUCCCAGUGUCCUGCUGGGGGCUGCUGUGGUCUGUGGCUGGCUGCCUGCAGGAGUGAAGUGGUGCCUUCAGGGUUGGAGACCCUUCUCUGGGGGGCCUCCAUCCUGACUGAGAUGAGGGAUGAUGUCUGAUCAC
rnacentral:snoRNA from 1 species